rnacentral:pre_miRNA from 1 species
AAGACACCCCUCCAGGGCAAGACUUGCUUCAGUGGGGCUUUGGUGCUUACUGAGUCUGCCCCCUGAGUGUGUCCUU